rnacentral:lncRNA from 1 species
UUUUAUAGGAAAAUAUUGGGUUUUUAUAGGAAAUGUUGGCUUUUUACAGGGAUAAACUUAGAUUUUUACAAGGAAUAAUCAUUUUAUUUUUUUUAAUUUCUUUUGUUUUUUUUAGAAUUCAUUUUAAUUUUUCUAAUAAAAAUGGGAAUCAGGGUUUUUACAAGAAAAAUCAACUUUUUUUCAUUUUAAUUUCUUUUUUUAAAAUAAAUUUUAGUUGUUUCAGGUAAAAAGGGAAAAACUAGGUUUUAUGGGGAAUUACUUGGGUUUCUA